UGUACUCAAUGUGAUGUCUCACACAAAAUUUCAGGCUGUACAUUACAGGUGUUUUUUCUCCUUUGAUGCAAUGUGGAAUCAACCAACACAGACUCACAAAAACCCCGAAGAGGAAGUUGUUGUUCACCUCCCCAUACCCUGCAGACACUAAUUAGAUCAUGCAGCCAGGAUCUCUUAAUCACCCUCACAAAGAUCCCCUACCAACCGUCCACAGUCAUUAACCCGGACCCUGAAUCAGUAGAAGGAUCAGUUGCUGUGACUGUCUCCCGACCUACCCUGGCAUCCCCCUCCCAGAGGCUGGCGCAGAUUAGGCGGAGAAAGAAAAGGACACGGGACGACAUGUUCUCAGAACUUAUGGGCUGCUCCCAAGCCGAGGCGGCCCAGCAGACCCAGUGGAGGGAGAACAUGUCGCAAUACCAGCGAGCACACAGCGAAUGGGAGGAGAGGUGAUGGCAGGAAGACCAGCAGGCGACUCAAACGCUGCUUGGACUAAUGAGGGAGCAAACAGACACGCUCCGGCGCCUUGUGGAUGUUCUGCAGGACCUGAGGCAGGAGGACAGAGCCCCGCUGCAGUCUCUCUCUAACCGCCCUCCCGCACCACAAAGUCCCAUACCCCCCUCACCCAAAGUCCCAAGAAGGAGGGGCGGCAGGGGCCAUGAAAACUGCCACUCCACCCCUGCAGACUGCUCAAGUACCAGAAGUCUCUCAUUCCCAAAAAUUUGAUAAGUCCUUUCCUUCCCGCCUCACCCAAGCCCCCGUCCCAGUUUCAUCCCCUAACUGUGUAGUUGCUAAUAAAAGAUA